GACGAACGCUGGCGGCGUGCUUAACACAUGCAAGUCGAACGAAGAGCGAUGGAAGCUUGCUUCUAUCAAUCUUAGUGGCGAACGGGUGAGUAACGCGUAAUCAACCUGCCCUUCAGAGGGGGACAACAGUUGGAAACGACUGCUAAUACCGCAUACGAUCUGACCUCGGCAUCGAGGAUGGAUGAAAGGUGGCCUCUAUUUAUAAGCUAUCACUGAAGGAGGGGAUUGCGUCUGAUUAGCUAGUUGGAGGGGUAACGGCCCACCAAGGCGAUGAUCAGUAGCCGGUCUGAGAGGAUGAACGGCCACAUUGGGACUGAGACACGGCCCAGGCUCCUACGGGAGGCAGCAGUGGGGAAUCUUCCGCGAUGGACGAGAGUCUGACGGAGCAACGCCGCGUGAGUGAUGACGGCCUUCGGGUUGUAAAGCUCUGUUAAUCGGGACGAAAGGCCUUCUUGCGAAUAGUUAGAAGG
rnacentral:rRNA from 1 species